GGAAGUUUGGGUGAGGGGCUGAAACCUCCAGUUUGCUAAACUGACGUACUCGCAAGGGUACCGGGGGUUCGAAUCCCCCAGCUUCCG
rnacentral:tRNA from 1 species